CAACAACAACAACAAAUAUGGCGGAAUCUGUAUUGUCAAACACGGAAGAAGAAGGAUACAACUAUAAUUAAACCAAGAAGUUUAUGAAGAAGGGAUCACUGGAUUUCGUCACUUUGGUACAAGAAACAGAAAAGGAUAUCAUAGACCACCUUACUUAUACGGAAGCAUAGGAGCUGUUGAAGGAAAUUGCUGCCAGACAGUCAGCAGUUAUCACUGACAGCCUGUCCUGGCCCAGCUUGGACCAUCCUCAAGCUAACCAUGAUGGUGUGUUUGCAAGAAUUGUCCAUUUGGUAGACCAUGAUGAAGACCAGCUUUGUUGUGGCAUGGCCUGACAACUGUACAAGCCAGAGACCAAAAAAGGGUUAAGUGGUGACUGAUCCACUCACCCUCCUUAUCCAGGAAACGUUUCGGAAUAACGUGUUGGCACUGAAGAUGUGGAGGACACAGAUUGAUCACAGUACAUCCUUUGGAUACAUGGACACCUUCAAUGGGACGACAACAAAACUGUACCUGCCUUUUUUAUGAAAGGAAGUAGUUAAUAAAAUUAUUGUUAACAGCUUUUUUAGUCUUGUUGUUUAAGAAUGCUUGCAACAUUUAAGUGGAUAAACGGUUGUUUUAAAUUUGAAUCUUCAGUAAUGAAUUUUUUAUUAAAUGAUGUUAUCUUAUUUCUUUCAAUAUAGUGUAAAUAAUAAGAACAUAAUUAUCCUUUGUAUACAAAAUGAAAACCAAGUUUACUGUUCUAUUAAUCAUUAUUUAUUUAUCUUGUUCUUUUGUCAGAAAUAUUACAGGGGCAUACAUACAGUAUUCCUUAAAUAAAAGGGGCAGUUCUUAGAAAAUAAACAUGUAAAGUAGCAAAGCAUAUUCAAACCUUUUCCACAUUUAUAACCAGCAACAAUAUGUAAGUAUUAUAAUGUAACACAAAUUAAUACUGUGAUAUACUACUGAUUUUGCCGUGCCUGUCAUCAAAUAAACAUGUUUUACUGAAAGUUUCUUAAAAGAUGUUAUGUGGAAGACUUAAUCAAUCAUUUAAUAAAUAUUUGAGCCAUGCUCUGGGAAAAGGGGGUUUAAUGCAUGUACUUAAGGUUGUCCAAGAUUAGGCUGUGCAGACUGCACAGGCGUAUCAGGGGCAACACUUUCCGCC